UCAAUAGGACUGACACUCUUGAACGUUCACCACAAACUCAAAAUCAGACGAAGAAUGAUUCAAGCAAGUCUAGUCCCAAAAAGCAAGAGAAACAAGUUGAUCCUCCCGAUCCUCCAGCUGUAGCACCAGGUCAGACCAAUGCCAAAGUCCCACGACGAAAGAAACAAGUUGAUCCUCCCGAUCCUCGAUUGUAGCACCAGGUAGACCAA